AAAUGUGUGGACUUCUGCCACAAGAAAUCCUGAUUCGAAAUUACAGGGGAGGGAUGAAAUGGGUGAAUGGUGAAAUUACCUACGUUUUAGGUCCGGUUAUGUACCUGGUGUCGGUAAAUGGAAAGUGC